CGGGGGAUCGCAAGACCUCGCGCGAUUGGAGCGGCCGAUAUCAGAUUAGGUAGUUGGUGAGGUAAAGGCUCACCAAGCCGACGAUCUGUAGCUGGUCUGAGAGGACGACCAGCCACACUGGGACUGAGACACGGCCCAGACUCCUACGGGAGGCAGCAGUGGGGAAUUUUGGACAAUGGGCGCCAAGCCUGAUCCAGCAAUGCCGCGUGCAGGAUGAAGGCCUUCGGGUUGUAAACUGCUUUUGUACGGAACGAAACGGUGAGCUCUAAUACAGUUUGCUAAUGACGGUACCGUAAGAAUAAGCACCGGCUAACUACGUG
rnacentral:rRNA from 1 species